rnacentral:rRNA from 1 species
UACGUAGGUGGCAAGCGUUGUUCGGAAUUAUUGGGCGUAAAGGGCGCGUAGGCGGCUCGUCAAGUCCGGCCUGAAAGCCCCCGGCUCAACCGGGGAGGGUGGCUGGAAACUGGCGGGCUUGAGGGCGAGAGAGGAGGGUGGAAUUCCUGGUGUAGCGGUGAAAUGCGUAGAGAUCAGGAGGAACACCCGUGGCGAAGGCGGCCCUCUGGCUCGACCCUGACGCUGAGGGGCGAAAGCGUGGGGAGCGAACGGG